AAGACUCGGGGGUCUCUCCCUAGAGUUAGAAAGGAAGGAAAGGAAGAGGGGGAGGGAGAAAGAAGCGAACCUGUUGUGAUCAAGUCAUCUCUGAACAUCUUGGCAUGGAAUAAUGUCAAAAAUGUCCUCAAAUUAUCCACUUCAUUUGCUACACAUUUAAAAACGCCCGCCUUUAGUUCGCCCACAAUGAAGUUUCCUAAAUAUUGUAUUUAAAGUACCCCACACUGGAAGACUGGAAACUCAGUCCCUCGCCCAUCGAGUGACUCAAGUCUCCGUUGAUGGUGCCCAUCACAGACUGGGUGCAGGCAGAGCCCACAGGCUGCAUCGGACUCUGCGAGGCCACGCGACACAAUAACUAGUCGGCAGACCAUGAAGGCUACUUCCUCAGCAAGUUGAGAGUGCGGCCUACAGCAUAUUUCUCGGAUACUUGACAAUUCAGCAUUCAAGGGCCAUAAGAACUUAUGGCAGAAGUCAUCAGUCUAACAUCGCCCAGGAAAAAGGUGUGGUAAACAGCAGGUAUCCUAUAAAUUAUUAACUGCUAAUGAGAAAAA
rnacentral:lncRNA from 1 species